rnacentral:tRNA from 1 species
CAAAAUAGAGCUUAAAAAGUUUUUUAGUUACAUUAAAAAGUUAAUUGUUAAAUCAAUUUAUUUUGA